CUGAGUGGACAAAUAGCCGGUGUGUCACAACACUGUAUGAUCAGUGAGUUCAGCUGUGUGAGCUCAGCUGCACUCAGUGAGGAGCGGAUGUGAAAUCGCUGCCGUGGUGAAGGGUCUCAUGAAGUUGCCCAAACUGGCCUCAAACUUGCAAUCCUCCUGCAUCAGCCUCCUGAGUAGCUGGAUUUACAGGAACAGUGGCACAUGCCUGCAAUCUCAACAACUCCAGAGGCUGAAGCAGGGGGAUGACAAGUUCGAAACCAGCUUCAGCAACUUAGUGAGACGUUGUCUCAAAAUAAAAAAUAAAAAAUAAAAAAACUGGGGAUGUAGCUCAGUGAUAGUAUUCCCCUGGAGUCAAUCCCCAAUACCACAUAAAACACGAGUUUUUCUCUCACCAUCUUUCUAUGUUCCUGUGAAAUAAAUGUCUUUUCUGACCAAAGGUCUUUAGAGAAUCAUGAAUUUCAAAUAAAUGACUCCGA